CCUGCAAGAUAAUAGAGCUGGUAAAACCACUCUGCGACUCGACUUAACGGGAUCAGGCUCGGGGCUCUUUACAUUUCCACCUCAAAGGAUGGUUUUGGGAGCUUUCCUGACAACGCGGAAACUAACCAGCAGCCCCCUCUGCCUCAUAUGUCCUUCGCGCUCCUCUAGGGAGACCGCAUGGGUUAUUUCGGAGAUGAGUGCGGGAUCUGCAUUGGUUAUUGGAUUGAGGAACCGGGGUAGGCACCGGGUAGAUCAGAGAACCGGCGCUCCGGGUGAGCUCGCCAUAAUCUCUCUCUCCCUCCUUCUGUCAGAAAUAUGGUUGUCGAUUGUGAAAGAAUACCCGGCUCGUCGAGCUUAGAAAUAAAUUUACACCAGGUCACACGGCAGCAUCCUUCCCCCGUAAAGCCUUUGCCCACGUAGGGUCCUGCCCGAGAGGAGGGGAGUUAUAUUGGCCACCUUGGGGAACUUUACGGGUUGUAAUUCAAGGACUAGGGAGGGUUGAUUUAGAAACCCGUGGCAAGACUCGGGGUUCCCCCUGUACCGCUCUGGGGAGGGCAGGUUAAUUUACUCUCCACGGCAGUUCCGGGGUAACGUGGCUGCACACACAGGCACAAUGCUGGAAACCAGAGUCCAUCGUGAACCCCGCUUCGCGUCUCAGAGUCCUUCUGCAAAGAUUUAAAAGUAUCAUCUCCCGGAGAGACUGCACAUGCCACCCACCCCCAGCUGCCUGCCCUUGGCGGGGCUGAACCGUGCGAAUUGAACAAUCUCCGCCGAGUCCUGCUGAAUCGGUCUUCAGACGGACGGACCCGGGCGCGGAGUGCACUCAGGACUCGAUAAUAGAGAUUAACAAUGAGGAUUUAUUCGGAAAUAAAGCUCACUUGUUCACUCGGAACUCGAAUCCAGGGCUUAUCGGUCCAGACUAACUCUGAGUAGAAACACAAAACCCAGGAGACCUGUGCUGGUCGAAAUCCAAAACUAACCACAGAAGAAUGAGAAGCACAGGGGACCCAUAUCCACAUAACGGGCGUCACGAGCGGUGAACGUAGAUGCUGAGAUCAGCAACAGAAUUGCCAAAGCCAGCGCCGCCUUUGGGAGACUCCGUGAGAAUGUACGGGAGUGGAGAGGACUCAGCCUUACCACCAAGCUGAAGGUCAACCGAGCUGAGGUUCUCACCACCCUCCUCUAUGCCAGCGAGACCUGGACUGUCCACAGCAGACACGCGAAACAGCUCAACCACUUCCACUUGAGCUGCCUCCGCAGACUUCGCCACGUACGAUGGCAGGACAACGUCCCAGACACGGAGGUCCUGGAGCGGGCUAGCACCCACAGCGUCUACACCCUCCGACAGAAAGCCCAAGCCAGAUGGGCUGGCCAUGUCGUCAGGAUGUCUGACAGUCGACUACCAAAACAGCUGCUGUAUGGAGAGCUGAGCCAGGGCAGGCGCUCCGUUGGAGGGCAGAAGAAACGUUUCAAAGACUGCCUCGAAGUCCUCAACAUCAAUCUUGCUCUGGACCGCCCAACCUGGUGGAGCAGGACCACUAAAGGAGCGUAUGCAGCAGAAAUCAGACGCGACGCAGAGGCUCAGAGGAAACGUGGCUCGAACUACCGCCACUUCCACUGCAGCACCUACCCUCGUGUGUCCCACAUGUGGGCGAGCUACCUCCGCUUCCACUGCAGCACCUACCCUCGUGUGUCCCACAUGUGGGCGAGCUUUCAGGGCCCGGAUUGGCCUCACCAGUCACCUCCGGACCCUCCACCUGACAGAAGUCGUGGUCGCCUUCGACUCUGAAGGACGUACAACAGCUUAAUGAUAAGAGUAAAGGACAAACCCCGGGAAAUCUGCAGACGCUGGAAAUCCGAGCAACACACACAAAAUGCUGGAGGAGCUCAGCAGGCCAGGCAGCGUCCAUAGGAAAAGAGUAGAGUCGAAGUUUCCGGCGGAGACCCUUCUCAAGACUGGUGAAAAAAGAUGAGGAGUCAGAGUCAGAAGGUGAGGGGAGGGGAGGGAGAAGUACAACAGAGUUGGUGAUAGGUGAAACCGGGAGAGGGGAGUGGGUGAAGUGAAGAGCUGGGGAGUUGAUAGGUGAAAGAGGUACAGGGCUGGAGAGGGGGAAAUCUGAUAGGAGAGGGUAGAAGGCCAUGGAGGAACAGAGGGAGGUGGUGGGCAGGUGUGAGAGGGGAAUCGGAAUGGGGAAUGGUGAAGGGGGAGGCAAUUACUGAAGUUUGUGAGAUCAAUGUUCAUGCCAUCAAGUGGAGGCUACCAGAUGGAAUAUACGGUGUUGCUCCUCCAGCCCGGAUGUGGCCUCACCGUGACAGUAGAGGAGGCCGUGGCCUGACGUGUCGGAGUGGGAACGGGAAGUGGAAUUGAAAUGGGUGACUAAUGGGAAAUCCCUCUUUGUGUGGUGGUUCAAGUGAAGGUGCUUGUUGAAGGAAUAUCCCAAUCUACAUCGGGCCUUGCUGAUGUACGCUGGGAGCACCGGGUACAGCAGAUGACCCCAACAGACUCCCCGGUGAAGUGUCGCCUCACCUGAAUCGUAGUGAGCGAGGAGGUGUAGCGCUUGUUCUGCUUGCAAUGAUAGGUACCAGGAGGGAGAUCACUGGUGAGGGAUGAAUGGACAAGGGAGACACAUAGGGUGUGAUCCUUGUGGAAAGUUGGGGAUGGGGAGGGAAGAUGUGCUUGGUGGUGGGAUUCCUUUGGAAAUGGUGGAAGUGAUAAAAGUGGUCACUUCACUCUAAUAAAUGAUGUUCAGGUGCAUCUAGACUCUAAUAAAUGAUGUCCAGGUGUAUCUAGACUAAUGAAUGAUGUUCAGGUGUAUC